GUCAUCUACAAACUAAUUAAUACAAAAUUUGAUAUGUUUCAAAAUCAUGUAAUCAUAAAAUUUUAUUGCUCAAUUAAGAAAUUAUUAUUUGAUUAUUGAAAUGUCUCCUUUACGUCCUUAAUCAUGAAACUAUUUCUAAUGUUUUGUGAAAUAUAUUUGAAUUUGUUCUUUCAUUUCAAAAUUUCCUUCAUAACCUCAUCGCCAAACUUGUAUGUGAGCUUGGUUCUUGGGAUUUUUUCGACUUCACCAUGUUUGUACUGCCUUAUAGCUCGACUCAUUUUAUCAUAAUUCAUAUUUCUUUUCCCCUUUUCCAAUCCCCAGAGGUGUGACAGACCAACUGUGUUUAUCAAACGGAAUACGUGAUGUUCUUCGUCUACCCAGCGAAGGUAAUCUUGAUAUCCUGGUGCUUCCAGGAGAUUGUGCAAAAAUUUCCACAAACUCACUUUACGUUUUCCUAGAUAAAAAAAAAACAUAUGUUAUUUACG